AACCUAAGGAUUCCUCUGGAAGGCUCGUCCACGGAGGGUUAGUCAGGACCUAAAAUGAGGCCGAAAGGCGUAAUUGAUGGACAACAGGUUAAUAUUCCUGUACUAUUUAUUAUUGAUAUCGAGGGACGGAGAAGGCUAAACUAGCCGGAUGUUGGUUACCGGUUUAAACGUUAAAGGUUAUAAUAAGUGGUGAAAACACUUAAAGCUAAGACGUGAGUACAAAAUACUACGGUAUUAAAGUAGUUGAUGUCAUACUUCCUAGAAAAGCUUGUAAUAUCAUAAAUAAUAAAUACCUGUACCCUAAACCGACACAGGUAGGUAAGUAGAGUAUACUAAGGGGCGCGAGAUAACUCUCUCUAAGGAACUCGGCAAAAUAGCCCCGUAACUUCGGAAGAAGGGGUACCCUGUAUAGGGUUGCAAUAACCAGGCCCAAGCGACUGUUUACCAAAAACACAGGUCUCCGCGAAGUCGUAAGACAAUGUAUGGGGGCUGACGCCUGCCCAGUGCCGGAAGGUUAAAGAAGUUGGUUAGUCAUAAAACGAAGCUAGUAACUGAAGCCCCGGUGAACGGCGGCCGUAACAAUAACGGUCCUAAGGUAGCGAAAUUCCUUGUCGGGUAAGUUCCGACCUGCACGAAUGGCGUAACGACUUCUCUGCUGUCUCAACCACAGGCCCGGUGAAAUUGCACUACGAGUAAAG
rnacentral:rRNA from 1 species